CCACCUAGGCGAGGUGUCACACUUAUCAGAUAUGAUUACCAUACCAUAGGUGGAAUUUAAUUUGAAGUUAAUAGGUCGUUAUAUAUUCAUAUGAUUAUAACACCUUGUGGCUUAUCAACCACAACUAUGAUAUUUAAACUUGUAAGUGGUUGAUAUGUAAAACAUACCAUAGCCCGUGUCUAGAUUAAGGAACAGGGAUAAAAUAUACGCGAGUACUUAAGCUACUCGCACAAUAAAAUACGUUUUACAGUUAAAAUUAAAAGGAAAGUUUAAUUUAAUUGUUAAAAAAGAAAAUUAAGUUAAACAUGAGCAAAAAUAUGAAUGUAUCAAAAACCAUGUCUACAAAGAAAGGCAACAAAAAUUAAAUAAAAUAUUUAUAUAAUUCGAUUUUAAUUAUAUUUAUUCUCUCUUGUUGCCUUAUCUAGCAACAGAUCAUUCUAACAGAUAAAAAGGGAUAAUAACAGAUAAUUGUAAGUUUUUCAUAAAAAAAAAAAGUUUUAAGCGCAAUAAAUAAUUGUUAACUUCAUAUAAUAAUAAAAUCAGACAUGCACCAACAAUUUUUGAAAAUUGUUGGCGCAUGUCCGAUCCAAAACGUUUAUUCUCCGAACACAUGAUUUUAAAUAUUGGACAUAAAAACAGGUAUAUUAUUCAAUAAGAAAGUCUAAUAAAUUUUAUCAUUAAAUAUAUUACAAAGUUACAGAUUACAUGAAAAAAUUUCCCACCAUAGAAAUUCGAUUAUAACACAUCAGUAAUUAGUAUAUAUAAAAAGAAUUCUGGCUCAUUAGUCUUUAUUUUAUCUAUAUUGAAUAGCAAUAAUUCAUUUUACUAUAUAAUUUUACUUUGAAGUAAAAUAAUGAAAUUAACAAUUUUUGUUUUUGUUAUAUUUGCAAUAAUUAGCUAUGUUUAUAGUUUUUGCGAAGUUGCACUUUGUAAGGACAAUCCAAACUUCAUAUGUCCACCUUAUGAAAACUAUACAUUAGCAGAUGGUCCAUCGUCAUGUAAUGGUCAAACUGUUGGUAGCAUCCAAUGCUGCUACAAUCCAAUAAUAAUAAUUCCUCCUGGUGCAACCUCUUUUUCUGCAGUUGGAUAAAAUUUUAGCAAGAUAACUCACCUGAACUAGAAUCGAAUCAUAAUUGAUAAUUAUCAAAAAUGCAUUUAAGUACUCAAGUAAUAAAUUAUUUUUCGUGCAAUUUACGGAUUUAAUAUUAUUGUAAAUAAAUGUUUGUUUUCAUUAUGAAACUUAAAGAAACAUAUAUUUUACUAAGGAUUAACAAAUAUUUAUAUACAAUAUAUUAUAUAUAAUUAUGAAUAUUUUAUAAUUUAAA